rfam:Cajanus cajan Scaffold132845_12, whole genome shotgun sequence.
GUUCCUUCGGGGAUAUCCGAUAAAAUUGGAACGAUACAUAGAAGAUUAGCAUGGCUCUUGCAUCGAGAAAUGGUUCAAAUUUUU